UUCCUUGACCAAGGAUUGAACCCAUGACCCCUGUGGUGGAAACUCGCCAUCUUAACCACUAGACCACCAAGGA
rnacentral:tRNA from 1 species